UUGUAAGGCUCACAAUGAAAGUCUGGAGGAGUCUGGACUUUUUAAGUCUGUAGGGGAGCACAUUACAGCACAGUCCCUUUCUCUGUGUGGUGGUGGUGUUAACUCCAUAUAUCUAUAUCUUUCUCUAUAUAUUCAUCCGCAACUCAUAUUUUGCUGAACUCUCUAUUAAACAUCUUUCUAUCUAGCUACACCUCUCUCUCUCGAUCUAUAUAUAAGAAUUUCAUAUAUAUAUAUAUAUAUAUAUAUAUAUAUAGUAUGAAGAAUUCUUCUCCUCCUUCUAAUUCUCUUUCUAAUAUUAAUUCGAAAAAAGUAAAAGUACUAGAUCGAAAGACGGUGGAGAGGAAACGAAGGUGUGAGAUGAAAGGUCUCUGCUUCAAGCUUACUUCUCUUAUCCCUCCUCACCACUUCAAACCCUCCAAGGUAGCUACCCUUCUGCACUAUAUAUAUAUAUAUAUAUAUAUGCAUGCAUGCAUUAAUUUCUUGCUUGAAUUGAUUCAUUAUAUUCUUAAUCCAUAGCUAGCUUUAAUUAAUCAUGUAUGUAUGUAUAUAAUAUAUACUCGAUGUUUUAAUUUUAUUUUUUUACUUACUAAUUUUGUUGAACAUGAUAUACUCUCUCUCUCUCUCACACACACACACACACACUACUCACAUGAUCAGGAGUUGCUAUCACAGCAAGAUCAGCUGGAUCAGGCAGCCACCUAUAUUAAGCAAUUAAAAGAAAGAGUGGAUGAAUUAAAGGUGAAG
rnacentral:lncRNA from 1 species